CGUGCAGGAGCUCGGCCUGCUCCUCCCUCGCUCCCUCCCAGCGCCCGCAGCGGGCCGAGAGCGGCCUCCCUCAGGGCGGGAAGGGGCUGGCCGGGGGCGGGGGCCUUCCCUUUCUCCUAGGGCCGGCGGGGGGGGCUGCAGGCUCGAGCUCCGUCCGACGGGGCGGCUCGCCAGCUUCGGGGAGGAGCUGAGCUGCUGCAGGACGCAGCCCGACCGCCGAGACUCCGUCUUUACUCCCGGGCAUCCCUCCCAGGCCUGGGCUGCGAGCUGGAGCUGCCGCUGCCGGGCCCAGCCAUUGCAGCUCCCCCGCUGGGGGCACAACAGAAGCACGUCGGCUGAUCCCCUCCAACGCGUGUAAAGACAAGCGAUAAUAAAAUCCAGGGGGAGAGUAUCAAGAGAACUGAGCAUCAAACCCAUCUGACUCCACUAUUUCUUCUCGAAAUAGUGAUUGUGAUGAGGAGAAAAUUGUGAAGAAGCGAAUGGUGUCUCACCUAUGUGGCCAGUGGCAGCUCUGGGUCUGCGGGUCAGGUCCCCUCCUGUGUAUCAGGCCUACAAGACGCAGCAGUUGCAAUAGCAGCAGCAAGGCGUAGCUUGCUUGUCUGGCACGGCCGCGGCCGUUCCCCGAGCCCCCGCCGGGCGAUCGGAGGGAAGAGGCGAGUUCGCUGUUUGCCAACAAACUACGCGGCGCUUCCUACGGCUGUCCGGAGCAGCCUGUCUGCAAAUGGGAACCAAGUGCCGUUCACCGAGCUCCCUUUCCUGCUCGCACCGCUUCCUCCUCCCC